GUCUACGGCCAUGCCACCCUGAAUGUGACUGAUCUCGUCUGAUCUUGGAAAUUAAGCAGGGUCAGGCCUGGUUAGUACUUGGAUGGGAGACCACCUAGGAAGACCAGUUUGCUGUAGGUG
rnacentral:rRNA from 1 species